rnacentral:rRNA from 1 species
UACGUAGGUGGCAAGCGUUGUCCGGAAUUAUUGGGCGUAAAGCGCGCGCAGGCGGUUCUUUAAGUCUGCUGUGAAAGCCCACGGCUCAACCGUGGAGGGUCAUUGGAAACUGGAGAACUUGAGUACAGAAGAGGAAAGCGGAAUUCCACGUGUAGCGGUGAAAUGCGUAGAGAUGUGGAGGAACACCAGUGGCGAAGGCGGCUUUCUGGUCUGUAACUGACGCUGAGGCGCGAAAGCGUGGGGAGCAAACAGG